rnacentral:rRNA from 1 species
GACGAACGCUGGCGGCGUGCUUAACACAUGCAAGUCGAACGGUAAGGCCCUUCGGGGUACACGAGUGGCGAACGGGUGAGUAACACGUGGGUGAUCUGCCCUGCACUUCGGGAUAAGCCUGGGAAACUGGGUCUAAUACCGGAUAGGACUCCUGGCUUCAUGGUUGGGGGUGGAAAGCUUUUGCGGUGUGGGAUGGGCCCGCGGCCUAUCAGCUUGUUGGUGGGGUAAUGGCCUACCAAGGCGACGACGGGUAGCCGGCCUGAGAGGGUGACCGGUCACAGUGGGACUGAGAUACGGCCCAGACUCCUACGGGAGGCAGCAGUGGGGAAUAUUGCACAAUGGGCGCAAGCCUGAUGCAGCGACGCCGCGUGAGGGAUGAAGCUUUUCGGAGUGUAAACCUCUUUUCUCGGGGACGAAGAUCUGACGGUACCCGAGGAAUAAGGACCGGCUAACUACGUGCCAGCCGCCGCAGUAA